rnacentral:rRNA from 1 species
GACGAACGCUGGCGGCGUGCUUAACACAUGCAAGUCGAACGGAAAGGCCCUGCUUGCAGGGUACUCGAGUGGCGAACGGGUGAGUAACACGUGGGUGAUCUGCCCUUCACUUCGGGAUAAGCCUGGGAAACUGGGUCUAAUACCGGAUAGGAGCCAUUUUUAGUGUGAUGGUUGGAAAGUUUUUUCGGUGUAGGAUGAGCUCGCGGCCUAUCAGCUUGUUGGUGGGGUAAUGGCCUACCAAGGCGGCGACGGGUAGCCGGCCUGAGAGGGUGGACGGCCACAUUGGGACUGAGAUACGGCCCAGACUCCUACGGGAGGCAGAAGUGGGGAAGAUUGCACAAUGGGCGCAAGCCUGAUGCAGCGACGCCGCGUGGGGGAUGACGGCCUUCGGGUUGUAAACUCCUUUCGCUAGGGACGAAGCUUUUUGUGACGGUACCUAGAUAAGAAGCACCGGCUAACUACGUG